CGAAACGUUACAUAAAUAUCGAUAAAAUUAUUUCUACAUAAUAUAAAUGCAAAGUGAGUGAUGGACAAGCGUGUUGAGUAAAAUUUGUAUGUUCAGGUGUGUGACCAAGCACUUUCCCAUUGUAUGACCAUCAUCAGAUACUUCGGAAAGGCAUAUUUGUUCAAAAUGAAAGCAUAUAUUGAAUUAAAUUACGUAGGCAAGAUUGAGGGAAAACGUGGUCCUGGACUUAGACAGUGCUCUUGGUUGAAAAACAUACGGGAUUGGACAGGCUUAUAUUUAAACUAUCUGCUGAGAAGAGCCCAAGACAGAGACGAAUUUGCGGGAAUUGUUGCCGAUCUUCAUUGAAUGAAGAAGGCACUUCCAGAAGAAUCCCGCUGCGAAUCCAGUUAACAGAAAUAGUGUCAACAUUUUAGUAAUAAUAAAUCGGGGGUAACCGGUGUGACUUUAAAAAAUGUGCAGAAAACUUA